rnacentral:rRNA from 1 species
GAGCGCCGUAGCAAUACGGAGCGGCAGACGGGAGAGUAACACGUGGGAACGUACCCUUUGGUUCGGAACAACCCAGGGAAACUUGGGCUAAUACCGGAUAAGCCCUUACGGGGAAAGAUUCAUCGCCGAAGGAUCGGCCCGCGUCUGAUUAGCUAGUUGGUGGGGUAAUGGCCCACCAAGGCGACGAUCAGUAGCUGGUCUGAGAGGAUGAUCAGCCUCACUGGGACUGAGACACGGCCCAGACUCCUACGGGAGGCAGCAGUGGGGAAUAUUGGACAAUGGGCGCAAGCCUGAUCCAGCCAUGCCGCGUGGGUGAUGAAGGCCCUAGGGUUGUAAAGCCCUUUCGGCGGGGAAGAUAAUGACGGUA